UGCCUACGGGGGGCAGCAGUAGGGAAUCUUCCACAAUGGGCGAAAGCCUGAUGGAGCAACGCCGCGUGGGUGAAGAAGGCCUUCGGAUCGUAAAACCCUUUUGUUAGAGAAGAAAGAGCGGGAGAGUAACUGUUCACGUUUCGACGGUCUCUAACCAGAAAGCCACGGCUAACUACGUGCCAGCAGCCGCGGUAAUACGUAGGUGGCAAGCGUUAUCCGGAUUUAUUGGGCGUAAAGGGAACGCAGGCGGUCUUUUAAGUC
rnacentral:rRNA from 1 species